UCGAUUAUCCUUCUGUAUUAC
rnacentral:piRNA from 1 species